CUACGGAGGGUGCAAGCGUUAUCCGGAAUCAUUGGGUUUAAAGGGUCCGGAGGCAGAUUAAUAAGUCAGAGGUGAAAUCCCACAGCUUAACUGUGGCACUGCCUUUGAUACUGUUAGUCUUGAAUUAUAUGGAAGUAGAUAGAAUGUGUAGUGUAGCGGUGAAAUGCUUAGAGAUUCCACAGAAUACCGAUUGCGAAGGCAGUCUACUACGUAUAUAUUGACGCUAAUGGACGUAAGCGUGGGGAGCGAACAGGAUUAGAAACCCCAGUAGUCC
rnacentral:rRNA from 1 species